GAUGAACGCUGGCGGCGUGCCUAAUACAUGCAAGUCGAGCGAACGGACGAGAAGCUUGCUUCUCUGAUGUUAGCGGCGGACGGGUGAGUAACACGUGGAUAACCUACCUAUAAGACUGGGAUAACUUCGGGAAACCGGAGCUAAUACCGGAUAAUAUUUUGAACCGCAUGGUUCAAAAGUGAAUGACGGUCUUGCUGUCACUUAUAGAUGGAUCCGCGCUGCAUUAGCUAGUUGGUAAGGUAACGGCUUACCAAGGCAACGAUGCAUAGCCGACCUGAGAGGGUGAUCGGCCACACUGGAACUGAGACACGGUCCAGACUCCUACGGGAGGCAGCAGUAGGGAAUCUUCCGCAAUGGGCGAAAGCCUGACGGAGCAACGCCGCGUGAGUGAUGAAGGUCUUCGGAUCGUAAAACUCUGUUAUUAGGGAAGAACAUAUGUGUAAGUAACUGUGCACAUCUUGACGGUACCUAAUCAGAAAGCAACGGCUAACUACGUG
rnacentral:rRNA from 1 species